ACAGAUUUCAUACAUGAUUGCAUAAGGAAGAUAUCAAAACAUAAUACACAACUAUACUAUUACUCGCAUUCGUCUCAAUUUACAUCCAUUUUACAUUUUUGACUUCCAAAUGCAAUCCACAUUUUACACUUUAUUACAUUCUUUUCUUUUGUCCCUAAGUUAAGCCAACUCAGGGUACUGCUAUCUCUGGUCUACGUGGUAGGGCGUUAUCUACGGAGCUACGCCCUUUCCUCGCGCCACAGCGCCGCUCGCGUGUGAACCUGAAAUCCCUCAAAACAACGUGGGGUGAGAACUAUACUCAUAGUUCCCAGUGGGUAUGGCCACCCAAGGGAAGAGCUCGACCCACCAGAUCCAAAGGAGGCACUACAACAUGUUAGUCCACAGAUAUCCACAGAUAAUAAAUGCAAGUAUUAAAUACAUGCGCAUGCCUCACAAUAUGCAAUAUGCGAACCAUGCAACUCAUGCAAGUAGAUCACUUGAUUCUACUCUCUAUCACUUGCCAUUCUUUAUUCUUAGCCGUUCUUUACUCUUUGCCAUUCUUUACUAUUUACUAUUCUUUAUUAUCAGCCGUUCUUUAUUCUUUAUUAUUAGCCACACUAUACUCAUUUACCAUUCUUUCCUAAGGUUACUUUUACCUUAGCCAACUAUGUCAUUCGACUCGGUCUUGAGUCAAUCAUCCGCGGAUAAUCCGGACUCUGUCAGACUCGAGGUGAAGGAACUCUCACAUACACCUCGGCCUUCAAUUCACAAACCACAUCGCCCAACGGGUCGCGAAGAACU
rnacentral:lncRNA from 1 species